UACGAAGGGGGCUAGCGUUGCUCGGAAUGACUGGGCGUAAAGGGCGCGUAGGCGGAGUGCUUUGUCGGGCGUGAAAUUCCAGGGCUCAACCUUGGGGCUGCGUUCGAGACGGGCAUUCUAGAGUGGAGAAGAGGGUCGUGGAAUUCCCAGUGUAGAGGUGAAAUUCGUAGAUAUUGGGAAGAACACCGGUGGCGAAGGCGGCUCUCUGGACCGUAACUGACGCUGAGGCGCGAAAGCGUGGGGAGCAAACAGG
rnacentral:rRNA from 1 species